UACGUAGGGGGCAAGCGUUGUCCGGAAUCAUUGGGCGUAAAGCGCGCGUAGGCGGCUCGGCAAGUCGGGCGUGAAAUGCCGGGGCUCAACCCCGGGACUGCGUCCGAUACUUCCGAGCUGGAGGUAGGUAGGGGAGAUCGGAAUUCCUGGUGUAGCGGUGAAAUGCGCAGAUAUCAGGAGGAACACCGGUGGCGAAGGCGGAUCUCUGGGCCUUACCUGACGCUGAGGCGCGAAAGCUAGGGGAGCGAACAGG
rnacentral:rRNA from 1 species